rnacentral:tRNA from 6 species
GCCCGGGUGGCGGAAUGGCAGACGCUGAGGACUUAAAAUCCUCCGGGGAUUUUUCCUCAUGUGGGUUCGACUCCCACCCCGGGCACCA